GUGAUAGGCUAUCGAGUUGAUGUUGGUGAUUGGCUAUCGAGUUGAUGUUGGUGAUAGGCUAUCGAGUUGGUGACAGGCUAUCGAGUUGAUGUUGGUGAUAGGCUAUCGAGGUAUCGAGUCGAGUUGAUAGCGAUAGGGAGUCGAGUGAUUGGGUAUUGAGUUGAUAGGCUAUGCGAGUUGAGUUUAUAGGCUAUCGAGUUGAGUUGUAGAGUUUUUGAUGACUGCCUGUUCCUUUGUAGGCUUUCCUCAGUACACAGAAUGCUUCCUCCAUCUGUAGGCUUUCCUCUGUACACAGAAUGCUCUAUCCAUCUGUAGGCUUUCCCAGUACACAGAAUGGCUCUAUCCAUCUGUAGGCUUUUCCUCAGUACACCGAAUGCUCUAUCCAUCUGUGGCUUUCCUCAGUACACAAUGCUCUAUCCAUCUGUAGGCUUUCCUCAGUACACACAUGCUCUAUCCAUCUGUAGCUUUCCUCAGUACAACACAAUGCCUAUCCAUCUGUAGGCUUCCUCGGUACAACAAUGCUCUAUCCAUCUGUAGGCUUUUCCCAGUAACAGAAUGCUCUAUCCAUCUGUAGGCUUUCCCAGUAACAGAUGCUUUAUCCAUCUGAGGCUUUCCUCAGUACACAAUGCUCUAUCCAUCGUGUAUGCUAUCUCGUAGCUUUCCUCGUACACAUGCUCCAUCCAUCUGUAGGCUUUCUCUCAGUACACAGAUGCUCUAUCCACUGUAGGCUUCAUUCAGUACACAGAUGCUCUAUCCAUCUGUAGGCUUUCCUCAGUAACACAGAUGCUCUAUGCCAUCUGUAAGCUUUCCUCAGUACACACAGAUGCUCUAUCCAUCUGUAGGCUUUCCUCAGUACACAAAUGCUCUAUCACCUGUAGGCUUUCCUCAGUACACAGAAUGCUCUAUCCACCUGUAGGCUUUCCUCAGUACACAGAAUGCUCUAUCCAUCUUAGGCUUUCAUCAGGUACACAAAUCGCUACCAUCUGUAGGCUUCCUCAGUACACAGAAUGCUCUAUACCUGUAGGCUUUCCUCAGUACACAGAUACUCUAUCCUCGGUAGGUUUUUCCUCAGUACACAGAAUGGGUCUUUUAGAAUAUUUAAUGGACUUAGAGGGGUGAUGUGACAUUAUUUUAAUAUAUUUUUAGGAAGUUGUCUGAUUUCAGGAGAGUAUUUAAACUUCAUAUUACAGAGGUAAAACUAGUUGCCUCUGAGGAAAACAUAUUCACUACAUUUUUUGAGAUUGUGAUUGGCUGAUAGGUGGUGACUGGUUACAGUUUGUGAAGGAACACUGAUUGUAAAAAAUGUUUAAACAUUCUCUUUCUAUUGGCGAUGAUGUAAUAAAGGCCCCUGAUUGUUGAAAGUCACUUUGGUUACAGUACAUGAUCAGUGUGAUGACAACGGAGAGGUCGGGGGUCAUUGGCUGAUUUGAUUUUGGCAACUGGCUCCAAUAACAAGAAUUUCCUGAAGGAAGCCAUGUUUCUGUUCUGUGUCGGCCGAUGUAUUCAAGAAAAACAAAUUAUACUACUGUGAAGUCUGCGUUGUUUUAUUUAUCAUCGCUAGAAUCAAGUCUCUUGUAAAAUAGUGAAACCACAAGUAACAGAAUACAUUUUAUGAAAUAUAAUUAUGCCACAAAAUAGCAAC
rnacentral:lncRNA from 1 species